rnacentral:rRNA from 1 species
UCUAAGUGGGUGGUAUGCUCCAUCUAAAGCUAAAUAUUGGCGAGAGACCGAUAGCGAACAAGUACUGUGAAGGAAAGAUGAAAAGAACUUUGAAAAGAGAGUGAAAAAGUACGUGAAAUUGUUGAAAUGGAAGGCAAUGAGGUGCGAUUGAACCGGACGUUUGCGGGCAGGACAAAAGCGCAGGCCGCCUCGGCAUUGCCUGCGUGCAUACUGCCUCGCGGACUACCAGUUCUAACAACGCCUUAUUGCACCCGUCUUGAAACACGGAC